rnacentral:rRNA from 1 species
GACGAACGCUGGCGGCGUGCCUAAUACAUGCAAGUAGAACGCUGAAGAGAGGAGCUUGCUCUUCUUGGAUGAGUUGCGAACGGGUGAGUAACGCGUAGGUAACCUGCCUUGUAGCGGGGGAUAACUAUUGGAAACGAUAGCUAAUACCGCAUAACAAUGGAUGACACAUGUCAUUUAUUUGAAAGGGGCAAUUGCUCCACUACAAGAUGGACCUGCGUUGUAUUAGCUAGUAGGUGAGGUAAUGGCUCACCUAGGCGACGAUACAUAGCCGACCUGAGAGGGUGAUCGGCCACACUGGGACUGAGACACGGCCCAGACUCCUACGGGAGGCAGCAGUAGGGAAUCUUCGGCAAUGGGGGCAACCCUGACCGAGCAACGCCGCGUGAGUGAAGAAGGUUUUCGGAUCGUAAAGCUCUGUUGUAAGUCAAGAACGGGUGUGAGAGAGGAAAGUUCACACUGUGACGGUAGCUUACCAGAAAGGGACGGCUAACUACGUG